UACCAGCACCCCGAGUGGUCGGGACGUUUUAUUGGGCCUAAAGCAUCCGUAGCCGGUUCUACAAGUCUUCCGUUAAAUCCAACUGCUUAACAGGUGGGCUGCGGAAGAUACUAUAGAGCUAGGAGGCGGGAGAGGCAAGCGGUACUCAGUGGGUAGGGGUAAAAUCCGUUGAUCCAUUGAAGACCACCAGUGGCGAAGGCGGCUUGCCAGAAUGCGCUCGACGGUGAGGAUGAAAGCUGGGGGAGCAAACCGG
rnacentral:rRNA from 1 species